rnacentral:rRNA from 1 species
GGAGGGGGAUAACUACUGGAAACGGUAGCUAAUACCGCAUAACGUCGCAAGACCAAAGAGGGGGACCUUAGGGCCUCUUGCCAUCGGAUGUGCCCAGAUGGGAUUAGCUAGUAGGUGGGGUAACGGCUCACCUAGGCGACGAUCCCUAGCUGGUCUGAGAGGAUGACCAGCCACACUGGAACUGAGACACGGUCCAGACUCCUACGGGAGGCAGCAGUGGGGAAUAUUGCACAAUGGGCGCAAGCCUGAUGCAGCCAUGCCGCGUGUAUGAAGAAGGCCUUCGGGUUGUAAAGUACUUUCAGCGGGGAGGAAGGGAGUAAAGUUAAUACCUUUGCUCAUUGACGUUACCCGCAGAAGAAGCACCGGCUAACUCCGUGCCAGCAGCCGCGGUAAUACGGAGGGUGCAAGCGUUAAUCGGAAUUACUGGGCGUAAAGCGCACGCAGGCGGUUUGUUAAGUCAGAUGUGAAAUCCCCGGGCUCAACCUGGGAACUGCAUCUGAUACUGGCAAGCUUGAGUCUCGUAGAGGGGGGUAGAAUUCCAGGUGUAGCGGUGAAAUGCGUAGAGAUCUGGAGGAAUACCGGUGGCGAAGGCGGCCCCCUGGACGAAGACUGACGCUCAGGUGCGAAAGCGUGGGGAGCAAACAGGAUUAGAUACCCUGGUAGUCCACGCCGUAAACGAUGUCGACUUGGAGGUUGUGCCCUUGAGGCGUGGCUUCCGGAGCUAACGCGUUAAGUCGACCGCCUGGGGAGUACGGCCGCAAGGUUAAAACUCAAAUGAAUUGACGGGGGCCCGCACAAGCGGUGGAGCAUGUGGUUUAAUUCGAUGCAACGCGAAGAACCUUACCUGGUCUUGACAUCCACGGAAGUUUUCAGAGAUGAGAAUGUGCCUUCGGGAACCGUGAGACAGGUGCUGCAUGGCUGUCGUCAGCUCGUGUUGUGAAAUGUUGGGUUAAGUCCCGCAACGAGCGCAACCCUUAUCCUUUGUUGCCAGCGGUCCGGCCGGGAACUCAAAGGAGACUGCCAGUGAUAAACUGGAGGAAGGUGGGGAUGACGUCAAGUCAUCAUGGCCCUUACGACCAGGGCUACACACGUGCUACAAUGGCGCAUACAAAGAGAAGCGACCUCGCGAGAGCAAGCGGACCUCAUAAAGUGCGUCGUAGUCCGGAUUGGAGUCUGCAACUCGACUCCAUGAAGUCGGAAUCGCUAGUAAUCGUGGAUCAGAAUGCCACGGUGAAUACGUUCCCGGGCCUUGUACACACCGCCCGUCACACCAUGGGAGUGGGUUGCAAAAGAAGUAGGUAGCUUAACCUUCGGGAGGGCGCUUACCACUUUGUGAUUCAUGACUGGGGUGAAGUCGUAACAAGGUAACCGUAGGGGAACCUGCGGUUGGAUCACCUCCUUACCUUAAAGAAGC